rnacentral:rRNA from 1 species
GACGAACGCUGGCGGCGUGCUUAACACAUGCAAGUCGAACGGAAAGGCCCCGCUUUUGUGGGGUGCUCGAGUGGCGAACGGGUGAGUAACACGUGAGUAACCUGCCCUUGACUUUGGGAUAACUUCAGGAAACUGGGGCUAAUACCGGAUAGGAGCUCCUGCUGCAUGGUGGGGGUUGGAAAGUUUCGGCGGUUGGGGAUGGACUCGCGGCUUAUCAGCUUGUUGGUGGGGUAGUGGCUUACCAAGGCUUUGACGGGUAGCCGGCCUGAGAGGGUGACCGGCCACAUUGGGACUGAGAUACGGCCCAGAUUCCUACGGGAGGCAGCAGUGGGGAAUAUUGCACAAUGGGCGGAAGCCUGAUGCAGCAACGCCGCGUGCGGGAUGACGGCCUUCGGGUUGUAAACCGCUUUCGCCUGUGACGAAGCGUGAGUGACGGUAAUGGGUAAAGAAGCACCGGCUAACUACGUG